AAAAGAGUGGGACAGGGGUUUAGGAAAAGAAAAACGGGACAGUUGUGUUUAGUUAAAGAAGAACGGGAUAAUUAGAUUUAGAAAAGAAGAAUUGGACGGUUGGGUUUAGUUAAAGAAGAACGGGACUGUUGGGUUUAGGUAAAGAAGAACAAGACAGUGGGGUUUAGGUAAAGAAGAACGGAACAGUUGGGUUCAGGUGAAGAAGAACGGGACACUUGGGUUUAGGAAAAGAAGAGCGGGACAGUUGGGUUUAGGUGAAGAAGAUGAGGACAGUUGAGUUUAGG